AUGGUGAAGGAGAGGGCGGCGGCUUUGGAGCGGGCGAAGAAGGCGACGACGAAGGCGAAGGGAAGAGCGCCCAGUCGGGGCGGAUCCUCGUCGCGGUCCGGCCUGCCGCAAGGCUGGAUCCAGCGAGAUUGGAUCCGCUCGACCAUCACGCAGAAGGAUCUCGACGACCUGACCAACGAGGGACUGAUCCCCCAUGGGUCAGCGAGGCUUCCGGGGAAGGAGUGGCAGCCGCAACCUCAGGAGGGUGAGUGCGUCCUCCUAGCCACCCAUGUAGAUCGCGGUUUCUCUCUGCCACUGAACCUUUUCUUCCGGGGGUUUCUAAACUUUUUUGGUGCACAACUCCACCACUUCACGCCCAACUCCAUUGCCUACCUUGCUGCUUUCAUAUCUUUGUGUGAAAACUUCCUGGGUUGCCGGCCGCACUGGGGCCUCUUCAAACACAUUUUCACCUGCCGCUCCCAGACGGUGAAAAAGGCUAGCCCGAAUGACGAGAGAACCCAAGUUAUUCAGAUGUGCGGGGGCCUCGGGGUUCAGAUGAGGAGCAAGAGUGCCUUUCCAGCCAUGACCCUUCCC
rnacentral:rRNA from 1 species